UAGUACGUUGCGCAUGUGGGUUGAGACAGCCAGUAGACAUCGGUGUAAAUCUAUAGCGCAGUGGCAGCGCACUGCUUGGCGCUUUACCUCACGUCGUUGUUGUCCCCUCCACCUUCAACUGUCUCCCUUCCUCUGCGCCGUCUGCGGUGUCAAGGCAGCGGGAGAAGGGGGGGUAUGAGAUAUACGCUUCUCGUCGAAGUCUGGCACCUGUCAUUUGGGUAGAGAAGUGCAUGGGGUGAUUUUACAAUGUUACGUCAGGGAAAGUAAGAAACCAAACGCGCAGUGCACGGAGCUCAGUAGAAGUCUGAACGAAACAAUAACAUGUCAAGAUCUUUGCGUAACCUGUACUGUGUUUUGGGAAAACAAGCGCGUGAUAUUGGUUUUAGAUGUGUGUGCUCUCCGAAAUUAAACAGCGGCAGCUUUCGUAGACAUUAUAUUAACACUUUCCUGAACUGUGAAACCAACCCCCGAGCAUGUGUUCAAGCAAAAAGAUCAAAGUCAAGCUUAAAGCCGACUACUGAUAUUUCAUUUGCUGCACGAUCGACAGCUUCAAAUGAGAGCGAGAGGGACCAGUUUUUGGCUGUUUUUCCUCACAUUGUUAAAGACUUAACAGAUGCUGGGUUUGGUUCUGAGAUAUCAGAAGCAAAGGAACGGUUUGCAAAGGUCCUUCAUUAUAAUGUCCCUGGUGGUAAGAUGUCACGAGGGUUAGCAGUUGUGCAAGCUUAUCGUUUGCUUACUAAAGACAGUCUGCAUAGUGCAGAAAAUGUAUUCUUGGCCCACGUUAUGGGAUGGUGUGUGGAAAUGUUGCAAGCAUUUUUCAUUGUUCUUGAUGAUAUCAUGGACAAAUCAGCUACAAGGCGUGGAAGAACUUGCUGGUACCUCCAUGAUGACGUUGGCUUAUCGGCAGUUAAUGAUGGCUUACUGCUAGAGAGUGGAAUUUAUGAGUUACUUCGAAGAUAUUUUCAGGACAAAUCGUACUAUAUUGAAAUCCUCAAUCUCUUUCACGAUGUUACCUUCAAAACAACAGUAGGACAGUCUCUUGAUCUCUUGACUUCACAAGCAGGAAAGAAUCCAGAUUAUACCAAAUUCACAAUGGAUCAGUACAAUGCAGUUGUAAAAUACAAGACAGCAUAUUAUUCGUUCUAUUUACCUGUUGCACUAGCAAUGUACAUGGUGCCAGUGUGGUCGUGCUCUGUCCUGUUGAAAAAUGAAAUUUUCACCAUGCUUGUUGCUGUGUUAUUGGCACCUCAACCCGGUGCACAAUGGAUAAUAAAUGAUUCAGCUAGCUGCAUCAGAGAGACCCCUAUCAGCAGGAGGAUGAACCAAGGCUGGAUUAAAGAAACCUGAAGCACACAAUCAGGCUAAAGCAGUACUACUAGAAAUGGGACACUUCUUCCAGGUCCAGGAUGACUAUUUGGAUUGUUUUGGUGAUUCUGAUGUUACUGGAAAGGUUGGAAGUGAUAUUGCCACAGGAAAAUGCUCAUGGCUGGCUGUGACAGCUCUGCAACGAGCAAACCAUCAACAGCAAAUAGUGUUUAAG
rnacentral:misc_RNA from 1 species